UACGUAGGGUGCAAGCGUUGUCCGGAAUUAUUGGGCGUAAAGAGCUCGUAGGCGGUUUGUCGCGUCUGCUGUGAAAACUCGGGGCUUAACUCCGGGCCUGCAGUGGAUACGAGCAGACUAGAGUGCGGUAGGGGAGACUGGAAUUCCUGGUGUAGCGGUGAAAUGCGCAGAUAUCAGGAGGAACACCGGUGGCGAAGGCGGGUCUCUGGGCCGUAACUGACGCUGAGGAGCGAAAGCGUGGGGAGCGAACAGG
rnacentral:rRNA from 1 species